CUACGGGGGGCACCAGUGGGGAAUAUUGCACAAUGGGCGAAAGCCUGAUGCAGCAACGCCGCGUGGAGGAUGACACAUUUCGGUGCGUAAACUCCUUUUAUAUAGGAAGAUAAUGACGGUACUAUAUGAAUAAGCGCCGGCUAACUCCGUGCCAGCAGCCGCGGUAAUACGGAGGGCGCAAGCGUUACUCGGAACCACUGGGCGUAAAGAGCGUGUAGGCGGAUAGAUAAGUUGGGAGUGAAAUCCUAUGGCUCAACCAUAGAACUGCUUCCAAAACUGUCUAUCUAGAGUAUGGGAGAGGUAGAUGGAAUUUCUGGUGUAGGGGUAAAAUCCGUAGAGAUCAGAAGGAAUACCGAUUGCGAAGGCGAUCUACUGGAACAUUACUGACGCUGAGACGCGAAAGCGUGGGGAGCAAACAGGAUUAGAUACCCCAGUAGUC
rnacentral:rRNA from 1 species